UACUAUAUGUAUGUUUUUAUAUUUUGUUUUUAGAUGGGACAGAAAGCAGACGAAAUAAAAUAAAUAGCCUAAAGGUUUUUAGCAGGGGCAUUUUAAUUUUUGAUGUUUUAAGGCAAAUAUACACAUGUAUAACAAAACAUGGUUAUAUCUCAUAGUUCCAAAAUAUAAUCGAGGCAAUAAUUUCAACUCAGUUAUGCACAGUCACUUCGUACUAAAACUGACUUAUCUGAAAACGACAAUAAACGUUUCCGCAUAUGUAUGUAGGUAAUAUUUCGGACCAAAAUAAAAAACAAAAUUUGAAAUUAACUGUUAUUGUGGUGCAUCAGUUUAACCCGUUGCAACCAAUUCAAAAUGUCAAAAAUAUUUAAAUAAAUAAAUACCUUUUUGUGCUUAUGCGUUUGUCGCUCACGUUGUUGCUCUUUGCGCUGUUGAAACAACUCUGACAAGCAAACGAAGCGUCGUAAACAAAUAUACCAGUGGCAACAAACGAACGCAGCAGCUUAAUAGCAGCAAAGAGGAGAAAUAUUUUCACUUGCAAACAAGAAUGGACAUGUUCGUGAAAACGGCCAACCACCGGCGCGCGCAAAAUAUAUGAGAGAGUAUCAGAUGCGGCAGAAAUGCACGAGUGUUUGAAUUCGAAAGAGAGAAAGAGGGAGAGAGAAAUGUUUCCGAUUUGGGGCAUCUAUCUGUUGCUAUCACUGCUGUUUGCCGGCAGCGGCCCUAUCUAAACAUCAAAGGUGCUUUGGAGUUGUAGUGUAGUUCAAAAGACCUCUUCACAUGCUCAUCAGCUGAUGUCCAUAAACGCAAGCAGGAAGGAGAAUGAUUUAAGAGUGGCUCACUGUUAUUUAUGUUAAGUAGUUAAUUUUACACAUCUCUUUCUUAAUAAUAUCGCUAAUUAGUGUCAAUAGGUGCGAGAAAGAUGUACGCUAAUGUGAAUUAACAUUUAUGUUAGCAGAUGAGUGAGAAAUGAUUUUUUUUUACAGAAUUUUAUCAAAGGGCAAUUGCAGAGAAUUAACUAAAUUUUGACUAGAAAUAUAUUUGUAGACUGUUAACGUGUAUUUUUAUUUUUGUAGACACACACACGACUAAAAUAAUAAAUACACCUACUUAGCCUUUGUUUAUUGUUGAAAAUUGUUAAAUUUGAAAAUUUUAUAGAGUACGAAUCAGACAUUGGUUUGAUAGUAAUAAAUCCAAUAUGGUAAUACCAUUUAAACUGGAAAGGAUAUUGAUAUUUUCCCUAUUUAAGUGAACUUGUCAAUUUGCUGUUAAAGCUAGGUAUUUACUUGGUCAAAAAAUAAGUACACUGUUAACUAUUUCAAGGUGUUUUUAGUAAAUAUAUCAGCUUUUUGAAAUGCUUGAUUUUU